rnacentral:tRNA from 1 species
GUGCUCUUGGCCGAGCGGCAAAGGCCCCGGUCUUCCAAACCGGUGAGGCGGGUUCGACUCCCGCAGGGCACU